rnacentral:rRNA from 1 species
CCUACGGGGGGCAGCAGUGGGGAAUAUUGGACAAUGGGGGCAACCCUGAUCCAGCCAUGCCGCGUGUGUGAAGAAGGCCCUCGGGUUGUAAAGCACUUUCAGUGAGGAAGAACGCCUGGUGGUUAAUACCCAUCAGGAAAGACAUCACUCACAGAAGAAGCACCGGCUAACUCCGUGCCAGCAGCCGCGGUAAUACGGAGGGUGCGAGCGUUAAUCGGAAUUACUGGGCGUAAAGCGCGCGUAGGUGGCUUGAUAAGCCGGUUGUGAAAGCCCCGGGCCCAACCUGGGAACGGCAUCCGGAACUGUCAAGCUAGAGUGCAGGAGAGGAAGGUAGAAUUCCCGGUGUAGCGGUGAAAUGCGUAGAGAUCGGGAGGAAUACCAGUGGCGAAGGCGGCCUUCUGGACUGACACUGACACUGAGGUGCGAAAGCGUGGGUAGCAAACAGGAUUAGAUACCCCAGUAGUC